CUUUGCUUUUUCCCUCAUAACUCUCUUUUCCUAAGGUAAGAAUGCCUAGACUAUCUUUUUACUUUUACUAAGGAUAUAGGUAUGGUUUAAAGUCUAUUCACUUUUGCCCUUAUACACAGCUCUCUGCAAAUAAAAAAAUGGAAAGUGGGGAUCCCCCUUGCCGUAUCCCGAGCUAACUUCUGAUAAACCAUAUGCAGAGGUCGCUUUCCUUGCUGCCAGAUGGAUUUACCUUCUCUAAGAUGUCUACUUUAGAAAAGAAAGAUUCUUCCGGGACAACUACUAGAUAGCUAGGAACUAGCACUUCAAUUGGAUCCGUUUAGCUUAGGACAACUCUUUCAAGGCUUUCAAGGCACUAGCUUUCUCACGGACUGGAUCACUUGCCUUUGUCUUUGUCCUCGCAGAUACAUGAGUAAGACUAUACAGUAAAGGAGACACACCAGAUUUACAAACUAUCAUUAACAUACAUUUA
rnacentral:lncRNA from 1 species